CAUCUCCUCUCUUUUUUCUUCGAUCUGCAGCUGAAGAACCCUAAGAAGACCCAUAGAUAAGCUUUCUCUUCUCUUUUAUAACCAACCGAUUUUGGCACUUCUCACUCACAGAGACUCUCCAUUUCUAUGUUUUUUCUCUUUCAGUAGACGCUCCUCGAUUCGUCGGGGUUUUUGAUUUUGGAGUUAUGGAGCAGCAAAAGAACAUGGUUGAAGAAAACAUCGGAGAAGAAAAGAUUCUUCCCGGCCCUUUCCACGUUGAAAAGCUUCAGGGGGAUGGGGUAGCUUCAGUUGAUGUAAAAAAGCUCAAAGAUGCUGGUCUAUGCAGAGUUGAAACUGUUGCAUAAUCUCCUCGGAAAGAAUUACUUAUAAUCAAAGGAAUUAGUGAUGCUAAAAUUGAUAAGAUCAUUGAAGCAGCGACAAAGCUGGUUCAAUUGGGUUUACUAGUGCUGGUCAGCUUCAUGCACAAAGGCAAGAGAUCAUUCAGAUAACAUCAGGAUCAAGAGAACUUGACAAGGUUUUAGAAGGACGGAUCGAGACCGGUUAUAUUACUGAAUUGUAUGGUGUGGUGCCAGAUCAACGGAAAUGGAUCAACUGAGGUGGAUCUAGUUUGUAGGCUGGGUAUGGGCCAAGGAGGAGGAUCUAGUUUAUCCAAUCGUGGAGGUACAAGGAAUGUGUAUGGGCUGGGUCAAAGGGGAAGUAUGAUAUCGCAGAUCAGGUCUCAAACUUUUGGACAGACUUUAAAGUGCUCUUCUCCGAUAAAGUAUAUGUUGUUAACGUUCUAGAAGAAGAUUCAAUUUGUAGAAGUAAAAACCCUAGAAGAUCUCUAAACUCAGAAGAAGAUUGAAGUGAAAAUUUUGUAAGAUUCAACUACAAAUCCUUGAAGAUUCAGGUAUAACUCUAACCCUAUUCGUUUGAUUUUUUCUCUCUAUAUUUUGCUAGUUCUGUGUGUUUGAUUCUUGUUUUUAUGAACUGAUUUUCAUUUAAGUGGAAUGGAUUUGAUUUCUCACUAUGGGUCUGUGAGUUUUUCCUUUUGUUAUAACAUGUUUGAUUUUUAAUUUAGAGAAUAAGGGUUAUGAGUACGAAUCUGAUAGAGGUGUUGAUCUUGAACAUGUAUUUAUUGUCUAUUAAGUGUUUUGGUAUCUGGUUUUGAUGCAAGCAUUGAAGAUUUUGAAUGGGUGAUAUUCAAGUUCUAGAUGUAGAUAUGUAAUCUGUGAAAUAAUUGGUCCACUCAUGUCCUUAAUCAGUUAUGUGCUUCUUGGAAGGUACGACGUGUACUUACAUAUAAGCAUCAUUUUUCUUUUUGUAUUUACUUAAGCUUUAUUGGAUGUUUCCUAAUUUCUAAUAUAUGAUACUCGUAUUUGUAGGAUGCAGAGAAGUUUAACUGAUGACGAGAGUCACGAGGAGGAAGAAGAUGAGUAUUUUUCUAGUCUUUUAAUCUAUGAUAUUAGAACCUUAACUCGAGUCGACUGCUUGAAAAAUGCUUCAAGUUAUCGUAGUUAAUUGUUUCAACUUAAUUACAGUGAGGAUGCAAGCGAAAAUAGUUCGAAAAGCAGCCGUGAAAUGCUUAUCACCUAUAAUAGUUUCUCUCCCUGAGAUGCUCUCUCAAGGACCAAAUAUUGGGCGAUAAUAGAGAUGUUUCAGAGAGAUAACUAGGUGGACAAUAUUGCUGGCAAUGUGAAUGUUGUAGGUUGUGUGGACUUAGCUGCAUUGAAUCAAAGAGUGGCGGAAGAGGAGGAUGUUUAAUUAUCUAUGAAUCAUAACCCAUGUGAAAUUGUGGGUUCAUAGAAUUACACAUGUCUAACAAGUUUAUAAUAAAACUUUCCAUUCUCUUAUCAUCGCAGUGUUAAUGAAAAUUUGUUAUCUGCAUCGGGUACUUGUGAGAUUGCAGAUAUACAUGAAUUGGAAUAAAGAAAAAUGAACUCAUUCGCCCACGCUGGAUGUCUAAAUUCUUGAAAAUGGAGAUGCUGGUUGGUGGUCAUGAAGGUCUGCAGUACUUUUGGGCGUGAAUGUUUUUCUUACCCGUUUCAUAACAUGUUCCAAUAGGUAAGUGUGCAUUCAUGAGGUGAAACUGAGUUUCAAAGAUCCGUGUUAGAACUGCUGAACCAGUUGGAUGUUUUUUGUUCCUGACGAGAUGUCAAAGUCGUUUUUGCAACAAACAGAAUAGAAAAUAUUGAUCCUGCUUUGCUAAAGACUGGAAGAAUAGGUCGGGAGAUUGAGUACCCUCUUCCUAUCACCAAAACAAGGAGACACAUUUACCAGAUCUCUAAACCCUGGAGUAUAUAUAUGUGUAUCAAGUGUUCAUACGUUCAUAAAAGCCUUGGAGUUCAUAUAUUGAAGGUUGCACCUAGCUCAAGUGAGCCAACAACUGAUGAUGACCAACACAGCUUCUUCACAAGAUGAUUAUCAGUUUAUUAUCAACUUAUGAUUGUCUGAGAAUUUGAUUGGUAUGAGUUUGGCUCGUAGGUAUAACCUUAUAAAGAGAAUGAGCUGGGAUCCACAGUUUCCAAUAGGAACAACUUAAAGGUUGUCGUACACAUUUAGAAAGAAUCCACUCUACAUCUUGUUUUGAGGCCACGUGGUAGGAUUAUUGAACCAUCUUUUUUGAUGGCUUUAGAAAGGAAGUACAACCAGGACAAGAUGAUCUCACGCAAAAGAUAUGCACCUCGUCGUCCUCGUGUUGUAACUGUAGGAAGAAGAAGUGUGAAAACAACAGCUGGUUGAGGCCAAAGAAAAAGAUCAAGUAGACACAAUCCUGAAUUUUAGAGGGUGCAGAGCUGGAGAAUUUGUUUCCCGACAUGGUUGGUACUUGUGGUAAGAUCGAAACAAGAUGCUCCUGUUAGGGUGGCAUUAUAAGGAAAUCAAGAAAACAGUUGGAUAAGCAUAAUAGGAUUUGAGUGAACAAGUUGUAGGUGAUUCGUUUCUUAAUCUCCAAUAAAAAAUGUGGAUGAAGUCCCAUGAUAUUGAUUGAACAUGUUUAUAGGAAGUACCUUGUUAUUCAAUAAACAUGCUCAACUGGAAGUAGCUGUUUUUUGUGAAGUAUUUAUGUAAUUGUGACUGAGAUUGGUAAUUUUUGGAUAAUAGAGUUGAUUGAAUUAUGCUUUUGUCAUAUUUGAUGGAAAAUGGAACU